rnacentral:rRNA from 1 species
GAUGAACGCUGGCGGCGUGUCUAAUACAUGCAAGUCGAGCGAACAGACGAGGAGCUUGCUGCUCUGACGUUAGCGGCGGACGGGUGAGUAACACGUGGAUCACCUCCCUAUAUGACUGUGAUAACUUCGAGAAACCGGAGCUAAUACCGGAGAAUAUAUUGAACCGCAUGGUUCAAGAGUGAAAGCCGGUUUUGCUGGUGCUUAUAGAUGGAUCCGCGCCGCAUUAGCUAGUUGGGAAGGUAACGGCUUACCAAGGCAACGAUGCGUAGCCGACCUGAGGGGGUGAUAGCCCACACUGGAGCGUGGACGCCCUCCUGGCUCCUACGGGACGCCGCAGUAGGCUAUCUUCCGCAGUAGGCGAAAACCUGACGGAGCGACGCCGCGUCAGAGAUGAAAGCCUUCGGAUCGUAAAGCUCUGUUAUUAGGGGUGAACAAAUGUGUAAGUAACUAUGCCCGUCUUGACGGUACCUAGUAAGAAAGCACCGGCUAACUACGUG